UCAUUAUCGAAUCGUAGGCGAGGGUUGUCGCUGGCCUCUCGGGGCAUGUGCACGCCCGAGCCCUUGAAUCCCAAACACCACAUGUGAACCCACCGUAGGCCUUCGGGCCUAUGUCUUAUCAUAUAAUCCGAAUGUCUAAUAGAAUGUAAACCCAUUUCGUUGCCUUGAAAACGUAACGAAAGAAAACUAUACAACUUUCAACAACGGAUCUCUUGGCUCUCGCAUCGAUGAAGAACGCAGCGAAAUGCGAUAAGUAAUGUGAAUUGCAGAUUUUCAGUGAAUCAUCGAAUCUUUGAACGCACCUUGCGCCCCUUGGUAUUCCGAGGGGCAUGCCUGUUUGAGUGUCAUUAAAUCCUCAACCCCUCCGAUUCGUUUCGGUGGGGAUUGGACUUGGAGCGUGCUGGCGAAGGUCGGCUCCUCUUUAAAUGCAUCAGCGGAGAAAAUGCCUUUUGCGCCUCUGGCCGUUCAGCGUGAUAAUGACGUUGCGCUGCGGUCGAGCUUAAGGUCCGCUUCCAAAGGUCCUCUCGGACGAUAUAUACAUAUGACUUUUGACCUCAAAUCAGGUAGGACUACCCGCUGAACUUAAGCAUAUCAAUAAGCGGAGGAAAAGAAACUAACAAGGAUUCCCCUAGUAACUGCGAGUGAAGCGGGAAAAGCUCAAAUUUAAAAUCUGGCGGUCUCCGGCCGUCCGAGUUGUAAUCUGGAGAAGC
rnacentral:rRNA from 1 species